ensembl:lincRNA
AUGAAAAUGCAAAAAACCAAGAAGAGUCGAGACACUGACAGGGAGCUCUGGUCUGUGCUGGAUGAUCCCAGGAUGAAGACCAAAUAUGUAUUUCUUAUUACAGCACCAUAUCACUGUGUUUCAUUUCAUAAGGGACUGGCUUAUGCAAUUGUGGGAAGGUCCCGAGCAGGCUGGAGCUCCACAGGCGUGAGUGGAAGCUUGUUCCCAGACAGGAAGGAAGAGGAUCCAGAGGGAGCAGACGGCCGCGUGGAUCCCUGGGGAGACCGUGUGCGCACUCCCCAAUGGCCGCUGCCUUCCUUCCGUGCUCUGACUUUGUGCAAGAAUAUUGCCAGGAGCCCACACUAGUUAGGGUCACACCGAAAAGGGAAUUCCGGGGUCUGUAGUUAAGCCUCGCUGAGCUGCUGCAUGACGCGCUCGUCACGCUUGUGUAGCACCAGCCGUGGCGGAUGGUGUGGGACACCAUCUCCGCGCUCACACCGUGUUCUCUACACCAUUGCAGUUUCUGACCCUGAGCUUCCUGCAUGUGCCUCCAGCCUCGUGUAUUCUGCGUUUGUGUUUUGGACAUUGUGUGCACGUAAAUAUUUUACCAGAGUGUAACUAAGGCUCGGGCUGGAUGCCUCCUUCACUGCUGAGUCUCCUGUGCUCCACAGGGCCUGGCAGGCCGGGGGCACUCAAUUAACAGGUGUCGAGUGCAUGAGUACAAAACACACGCACAUUUCUGUACAAGCGUGUGUGUACAACGUGUAAAUCUCUGUGCGUAGAUGUUUUUGUGUGUGCGCACAUGUGUGUGUAUGUGUGCAUGUCGGUAUCUGUGUGUGGGAAGAAAAAUAUCUGGGUAGGCCCAAAAGAGCCAUUAGGGACUAUUUUAUUUUAUUUUUAAAGAUUUACGUGUUUAUUUGAGAGUAAGAGAGAAAGACAGAGAGAGGGGAGGAGAGAGAAGGACAAGCAGACACCAGGCCGAGCCCUGGGGCCCCACGCAGGCCCAGUCUCACAAUCUCCACCUCGAGACCAAGACUGAGCUGAAACCAAGAGCGGGGCGCUCAGCCAACAAGCCACCUGUGCACCAUUGCAAUGAAUUCUAGCCAUGAGUAUAGGAUUCAUUCAGAGAAACAUUUCGGAAAUUACCAUUUGUGCAGAAUGGAAGAAAGUACACGGAUACCUUCUGUAGUGGGGUGAAUGGUGGCCCCCCAAAAGGUAUGUGCUCACCCCCAAAACCUGUGAAGGUGACCUUACCUGGAAAAAAGGCUUUUGUAGAUGUAGUCAGGAUAAGGACCUACUGUGAGAUCAUCCUGGAUUAUCUGCGUGUCUGCGGGAUCCUGCCUGAAAUCCAGUGACAAGUUUUCUGUGAGAGGAGAAGGGGCCAUGUGACCCCAGUGCCAGAAACUGGAAGGUACAGCCCAGGAAGGCACGGAAUGCCGCAGCCACCAGGAGCUGGACAGGGUGGGGACGGACCCCCCUAGAGAACCUGCACGUCCCCCCGACACCUUGAUUUCAGACUUCUGCCCUCCAGAACUCUGAGAGAGUAGAUUUGUGCUGCGUUAAGCCACUCGGUUUGCGGUAACGUGUUAGGACAGUGACAGGAAAUGACUGUAUGACAUGUUGGGCAUGGAGGAACUUGUGCCCAAUUUGUCCAGGGCUGUGUGUGCCCUUGGCGGUGCACCCCCACAUUCCACCUUGACCGCCAGCCCCGGGGGAGGACAACAGCACCGCGAAUGUUUCAAGAGGGGAGCCGGCAGGCGGUGGAUCUAGAGGGAGCCUGGCUGAGAGGGCCAGGCGGGUCCAGACAUCUGCAACCCUUCGGAUUCACUGGGCCCCUGAAAGUUUUCUGGAAAUAAUGGUUUUGGGGGCAUUUGGAAACCACUGGAGGCCACCCGGGAACAGGGUGGGAAAAGAUGGUUUUCCUGCUUCCAGCAAACUGGUGCCUUUCCUGAGCGUGGUUGGAGUGAAGAGCCAGCACCCCUCCUCCCUCACUGCCCAGGGCACUGCGGGGGUGCGGGGGGCUGGGGACCCUGGCACUCCUGCCUCAGUGUGCUGCCGCUCAGCUCCCAGCGCGGCGCUCGGGCCGCGUCCACGGCUCUGCUUCGCUUCCUGUCCUGGUUGCUUUUCCUUCUCUGUCCGACCUGGCGCAGGAUCUCCAGCGCCUCGGCCCCUGGGCGGCAGCCAGCUCCGCUUUCCUUGAAUGACUGGCGAGAGCAGCAGGGCCAGGCGGGAGUCAUCAUCAGACAGGGAACAGGCCAGUUCCACCGUCCCUGAAGUUCUGAGUCGUUUCCACCGGGUACUUGUACGUGACCGCGGGAGACCCGUGGACUCACAGUGGAGAACCUGCUUAACUAGAAGUGGCAUCACGCAUGAGUGACGUGACCUGUGUGCCUCCUGCUGUGACGGCAGCUCCCUUCUGGGGUGCUCCUGCCCCCCAACAGCAGACAGACUCAAGGUGAAGACUAUUUUAUAAAUACACACGUGGAAUGCCUCCAAGACAGAGCAAGAGUGAGGAAAGAGGCAGAAGUGAGGCAACCAAACGCAGCACCCGGGUGGGUGGAAAAACUCGCCGUGUGUGUAGCCGGGGCACGAGGGCGGGUUCGACCUCUCCGGGCUGACAGCAUCUAAGUACAUGGAGAGGAACAGCCGUGAAACCAGAAGGGGUUUCAUUUCAGUGACACCCACACCGGGAGGACAGAAGACUAACAUCUCAAGGCUGUCUCCAGGGGCUUCUGGGGGGCUCAGUCAUUAAGCCUCUGCCUUCAGCUCAGGUCAUGAUCUCAGGAUCCUGGGAUCGAGCCCCGCAUCGGGCUCCCUGCUGAGUGGGGAGCCUGCUUCUCCCUCUCCCACUCCCCCUGCUUGUGCUCCCUCUCUCGCUGUGUCUCUUUCUCUCUCUGUCAAAUAAAUAAAAUAAAAAAUCUAAGGAAAAAAAAAAGACCCUUUCCAUAGUGCCGAAAAUACUUCUAGGUUUCUACAAGGAAAUCGUGGGACAAAGGUCGGAGGACACCUGCAGGCGGCCAUGAAGGUCAGGUCAUCACUGUCUUGGGGUCAGUCACAGGUGGGGUCUGGCUGGCUCAGGGCGGUCUUUGCUGGAGCGGGUGGUUUCACUUCCCACGGGGAUGCUUUGCCUGCAGUCUCCUUCGCCUGAGUUCAGAGAUAGCUGGAAAGAAGAACUUAAUUAGAAAUUACAGACUGGGGCGCCUGGGUGGCUCAGUGGGUUAAAGCCUCUGCUUCAGGGUCCUGGGAUCAAGCCCCACAUUGGACUCUCUGCUCAGCGGGGAGCCUGCUUCCCCUCUCUCUCUGCCUGCCUCUCUGCCUGCUUGUGAUCUCUGUCAAUAAAUAAAUAAAAUCUUAAAAAAAAAAAUUACAGACUGAGGUUAAAAUGGGGGUUGCUAAAAUCCUCUUUCAAAAAGGACAUAAUUGUGAUGAUUCAGAAUGUGCAUAUGCACUGUAUAUUACAUAAAUUCAAUAAAUUUCCUUCACUGGGUCACGGAAUAAGAGAAUGUCUGUUUUUAGGAGAUACCUGUGAAAUAAAAAGGAACAUAAGAUACAGGGCCCAGGGCACCUUGAAUGGCUCAGUCUGAUAAGCGUCUGCUUUUGGCUCAAGUCCUGAUCCCAGGGUCGUGGGAUCGAGCUUCACGGCGCGCUCCCUGCCCAGUGGGGGGUCUGCCUCUCCCUCUCCUCUGCCAUUCCACCCCCCCAACUUGUGUUCUCUGGCUCUUUCUCUCUGUCACAUAAAUGAAGAGUCUUUUUUUAAAAAAAGGCACAAUGUCUGUAAUUUAUUAUCACAUGGUUCAAGAACAAUAAAAAUCUUGUAUAUUAUAUAUAGACAGAUAAUUAUAUAGAGACAGAUCUCAAACAAAUGUAGCGAAUAUUAACAAUUGGUGCAUCCACAGUUGGGCACUUGGAGAACAAUAUAUAUACUGGACUUAACUGUAUUAUUCUCACCAAUUUUUUCUAUGUUUAAAAUAUUUCUUUUUUAAAAAACAUUUUACUUACUUUUGUGAGGGAGAAAGAGAGAGAGAGAACAUAAGCAGGAGCAGGGGGAGAGGCAGAGGGUGAGGGAGAAGCAGGCUCCCUACUGCAUUGCGGGGACCCCAAUGCAGGACUCGAUCCCAAGACUCUGGGAUCAUGACCUGAGGGGAAGGCAGAUAUUUAACUGACUGAGUAACCCAGGCUCCCCUAUGUUUAAAAACUUUCAAAAUAGGGCACCUGGGUGGCUCAGUGGGUUAAAGCCUCUGCCUUCGGCUCAGAUCAUGAUCUCGGGGUCCUGGGAUUGGCCCCCAAAUUGGGCUCUCUGCUCAGCAGGGAGCCUGUUUCCUCCUCUCUCUCUCUGUCUGCCUCUCUGCCUACUUGUG